UAUGGUAAUUGGCCGCCGCGGUAAUACGUAUGGUGCAAGCGUUAUCCGGAUUUACUGGGUGUACAGGGAGCGCAGGCGGUGCGGCAAGUCUGAUGUGAAAGCCCGGGGCUCAACCCCGGUACUGCAUUGGAAACUGUCGUACUAGAGUGUCGGAGGGGUAAGUGGAAUUCCUAGUGUAGCGGUGAAAUGCGUAGAUAUUAGGAGGAACACCAGUGGCGAAGGCGGCUUACUGGACGAUAACUGACGCUGAGGCUCGAAAGCGUGGGGAGCAAACAGG
rnacentral:rRNA from 1 species